rnacentral:rRNA from 1 species
UGGGGAAUAUUGGGCAAUGGGCGAAAGCCUGACCCAGCAACGCCGCGUGAAGGAAGAAGGUUUUCGGAUUGUAAACUUCUUUUAUCAGGGACGAAGAAAGUGACGGUACCUGAUGAAUAAGCCACGGCUAACUACGUGCCAGCAGCCGCGGUAAUACGUAGGGGGCAAGCGUUAUCCGGAUUUACUGGGUGUAAAGGGAGCGUAGACGGCGAGGCAAGUCUGAAGUGAAAGCCCGGGGCUCAACCCCGGGACUGCUUUGGAAACUGUCUUGCUGGAGUGCUGGAGAGGUAAGUGGAAUUCCUAGUGUAGCGGUGAAAUGCGUAGAUAUUAGGAGGAACACCAGUGGCGAAGGCGGCUUACUGGACAGUAACUGACGUUGAGGCUCGAAAGCGUGGGGAGCAAACAGGAUUAGAUACCCUGGUAGU